ensembl:snRNA U1 U1 spliceosomal RNA
AUACUUAUCUGGCAGAAGAGAGACCAUGAUCACAAAGGUGUUUUUCCCAGGGUGAGGCUUAUCCAUCACACUCUUCAUGUGCUGACUCCUGUGAUUUCCCCAAAUGUGGGAAACUCAACUGCAUCAUUUGUGGUAGUGGGGGACUGCAUUCAUGCUUUCUUUGA